GAAAGUAUUAGGUUUAUCUAAUAAAUUUGUUGUGUUUAAGCUUUGAAGGAAAAACAUCAUGGCGGAGGAUGCAGAAAUCUGAGAAAAUCAUGCUGUGCACAACUAAAUUGCUUGAAGAGGAAUAACGAAGCAGAAUGUAUCCCGAUUCAAGUGGAUACGGAAAUCUCCUAAGAAGCUAUAGAAUAAAAAAUGCAUAGGAAACGAAAGUGCAGCUCGUGGCCCUUACAAUGUAUCGUCAAUUGGCUGACGAUAAUGAAAAUAGGUGCACAUCGGAAAACACGCCGCUUCAAUGUACCUCCGUUAGCCCGUCAGUCAAGCCAGUCAUUGCUGCUUCAUUGUGUGAAUGCACCUGCAGAAACUUGAGUAGAUAUUAAACCACGAAUGGAAGUAUAUCCAAUAAACUAUUUGAAGCAAAAGAGUCUUGGGUUUAAAUUUUUGCGUUCUGUUUGAUCUGAAAAGAAAAAAAUAUAUAAAACAAACCAAAGCGCAUCCAAAAUAAUCACUUAUAAGUCUCAUAACAUUUUCCUUAUGAACAGUAUAACACAUCUAAUGUCAUCUAUAAUAAAAUACUAAUAUUUGGUAUAAGGUUAUCUUAUACUUUUGAAAAAUUCUUCCUUAUACUUUUGAUUAGAUUUUUUCAUAGAUUUUAUUAGAAUAACGAAAUGGCAAAAAUAUAUAAGUUUUUCUUAUACAUUCAAUAAGGAAAUUUCUUUUCGUGUAUGAAAACC